rnacentral:rRNA from 1 species
UUAAUAAUUUAUUUAAUUUAUUUGUUUUUAUUAAUAUAUUAUUUGAAUUAACUUGUUUUUUAGUAACUUUUAUUGAAAUUAUUAAAUUUAUUUAUAGUUUAUUGUACUGUAAAGGAUUAUUAUUUGUUUUAUUUUAAGUAUACUUUUUUUGUAGUACCUUUUGUAUCAGGGUUUGUUAAAUUUAGAUUAUUUAUAUAAUUUUCCCGAAGCUUAAAGAGAUAUAAUAAUAUGUUAUUUUAUGUAUUAUAAUAAUUAAUAAUAUUAUUAUAGAGGUUAUAUGCUAUUCAAUUUGAGAUAUCUGGUUCUUUGAUAAAUGAAUUUAAUUCAUAAUAAUUUAGUUGUUUCAUAAUUUUAUUUGUUAACAAUUAAAUUAUUUAAUAUUAUUGGGGAUUAGCUCAAUAUUAAUUUUAUAAUUAUUUUUUGUUUAGAAUUAUUGUAGGCUUAGUAACAGCCAUCAUUUAUUUCGUUAUAGUUAAUAUUCUAUUUAUUUUUAUUUAUUAUUUAUUUAAUUUUUUAUCAAAGUUUAGAGUUUAAUUAAUAAUCUUUAGUAAUAAUGAUAAAAUUAGUAGUCUUUUUAUUUUAAGUAUUGGAACUCGGCAAAUUUUAUCUUCGCCUGUUUAACAAAAACAUGUCCUGAAGUUUUAAAUUUUAGGUUUGACCUGCCCAAUGAUUGUUAUUUGAAUGGCUGCAGUAUUUUAACUGUACAAAGGUAGCAUAAUCACUUGUCUUUUAAUUGGAGGCUAGAAUGAAUGGUUGGACGAGGGAUAAACUUUCUUUGCUUAAAAUGGAUAAAUUUAAUUUUUUAGUCAAAAAGCUUAAAUUUGUUUGCUAGACGAGAAGACCCUAUAGAGUUUUAUUUAUUUAUUAAUAUUUGUUAUUAGGUUAUUUUGAAUGUAAUAAAUAUUAUUAAAUAAAUUUUGUUGGGGUGACAGUGAAAUUUAAUUAACUUUCAUUUAUUUAAUUUCAUUAAUUAAUGUUUUUUUGAUCCUAUAUUAUGGAUUAUAAGAUUAAAUUACCUUAGGGAUAACAGCGUAAUUCUUUUGGAGAGUUCAUAUCGAUAAAGGAGUUUGCGACCUCGAUGUUGGAUUAAAGUUAGUAUUGGGAGCAGUAUUUCAAUUACUAAGUCUGUUCGACUUUUAAAUCUUUACAUGAUCUGAGUUCAAACCGGCGUGAGCCAGGUUGGUUUCUAUCUGCAAAAACCUUUAAAUAUUUUAGUACGAAAGGACCAUAUAUUUAUAAUAUUUAUUAAUUGUUGAUUAUUAUUAA